AAACACGAUGCGGGAGAGCCGGUACGCCGGCACCGAAGGAGCAAGCCUCCCCGCCAAUCUCUCAGGUCCUGUACCGCAUCGGACUG
rnacentral:ncRNA from 3 species